rnacentral:rRNA from 1 species
GCGAACGCUGGCGGCAGGCCUAACACCUGCAAAUCGCACGAACUCUUCGGAGUUAGUGGCGGACGGGUGAGUAACACGUGGGAACGUGCCUUUAGGUUCGGAAUAACUCAGGGAAACUUGUGCUAAUACCGAAUGUGCCCUUCGGGGGAAAGAUUUAUCGCCUUUAGAGCGGCCCGCGUCUGAUUAGCUAGUUGGUGAGGUAAAGGCUCACCAAGGCGACGAUCAGUAGCUGGUCUGAGAGGAUGAUCAGCCACAUUGGGACUGAGACACGGCCCAAACUCCUACGGGAGGCAGCAGUGGGGAAUCUUGCGCAAUGGGCGAAAGCCUGACGCAGCCAUGCCGCGUGAAUGAUGAAGGUCUUAGGAUUGUAAAAUUCUUUCACCGGGGACGAUAAUGGCGGUACCCGGAGAAGAAGCCCCGGCUAACUUCGUG